rnacentral:rRNA from 1 species
CGUUACUCUAGGUGUCAAUUAAUAGCUGGGGACUACGAACUUUUGUUUAAAACCCUAAGAACCUGGCGGUGUGGUAUAGUCCAGACAGGGGAACUUGACGCUUAAUUCGAUGGUCCGCGUUUAAUCUCAUCUUUUCUUGUAAGAUCAGGGGUAUAUCGCUGUUUAGGGGGCGGAGAGAUCAGAAAGAAGCUUCCGAUCAAUGGUUGAUUUUUGUAUGGUUUGGGGGAAAACGCAAAAAUAGGUGACCACUGAAUUCAGGUAAGAUGCCCCCUAUGGAAAGAGGUUAGUUGAGUUACAGAAUUUUGGAUAUUCCUAGGUUUUCUAGGGGUUGAAAUAGGACUUGUUAGUAAAUGAAAAUUAGAACGUUUCGUUGAAUAGUGAAAUGCCAUGCGUACAAAU